UACGUAGGGGGCGAGCGUUGUCCGGAUUUAUUGGGCGUAAAGGGCGCGUAGGCGACCGCGCGCAUCCGGCGUGAAAUCUCCCCGCUCAACGGGGAGGGGUCGGCGGAGAUGGCGCGACUAGAGGACGGUAGAGGCAGAUGGAAGUCCCGCAGUAGUGGUGAAAUGCGUAGAGAGCGGGAGGAACACCAGAGGCGAAGGCGAUCUGCUGGGCUGGACCUGACGCUGAGGCGCGACAGCCAGGGGAGCGAACGGA
rnacentral:rRNA from 1 species